rnacentral:hammerhead_ribozyme from 1 species
AUCCAGAUGACGAGUCUCAACCAGGACGAAAUGUGCGUUAUCCUGGAU